AGUGAACGCUGGCGGUAGGCCUAACACAUGCAAGUCGAACGGCAGCACAGUAAGAGCUUGCUCUUACGGGUGGCGAGUGGCGGACGGGUGAGGAAUACAUCGGAAUCUACUUUUUCGUGGGGGAUAACGUAGGGAAACUUACGCUAAUACCGCAUACGACCUACGGGUGAAAGCAGGGGAUCUUCGGACCUUGCGCGAUUGCAUGAGCCGAUGUCGGAUUAGCUAGUUGGCGGGGUAAAGGCCCACCAAGGCGACGAUCCGUAGCUGGUCUGAGAGGAUGAACAGCCACACUGGAACUGAGACACGGUCCAGACUCCUACGGGAGGCAGCAGUGGGGAAGAUUGGACAAUGGGCGCAAGCCUGAUCCAGCCAUACCGCGUGGGUGAAGAAGGCCUUCGGGUUGUAAAGCCCUUUUGUUGGGAAAGAAAAGCAGCAGGUUAAUACCCCGCUGUUCUGACGGUACCCAAAGAAUAAGCACCGGCUAACUUCGUG
rnacentral:rRNA from 1 species